rnacentral:rRNA from 1 species
GCAACGCCGCGUGAGUGAUGAAGGCUUUCGGGUCGUAAAGCUCUGUCAGAGGGGAAGAAAUGGGUCUGGCUAAUAUCCAGAUUCCUUGACGGUACCCUCAAAGGAAGCACCGGCUAACUCCGUGCCAGCAGCCGCGGUAAUACGGAGGGUGCAAGCGUUGUUCGGAUUUAUUGGGCGUAAAGCGCGUGUAGGCGGUUUCUUAAGUCUGAUGUGAAAGCCCUGGGCUCAACCCAGGAAGUGCAUUGGAUACUGGGAGACUUGAAUACGGGAGAGGGUAGUGGAAUUCCUAGUGUAGGAGUGAAAUCCGUAGAUAUUAGGAGGAACACCGGUGGCGAAGGCGGCUACCUGGACCGAUAUUGACGCUGAGACGCGAAAGCGUGGGGAGCAAACAGGAUUAGAUACCCUGGUAGUCCACGCCGUAAACGAUGAGAACUAGGUGUUGCGGGUAUUGACCCCUGCAGUGCCGCAGCUAACGCAUUAAGUUCUCCGCCUGGGAAGUACGGUCGCAAGACUA